UUGAGUACCAUAAAUUGUGCGUCCAGUUCAGCCCACUGGACUCCAGGGGUACACUGGCUGCAAACAGCAGCACCAUUGGUAGUGGAUAUGGCCUUUUGCUUGUGUGGGUUGCACUUAGGGAUUUGGUCAUUU
rfam:Fukomys damarensis contig128111, whole genome shotgun sequence.